rnacentral:rRNA from 1 species
UACGGAGGGUGCAAGCGUUAUCCGGAUUCACUGGGUUUAAAGGGUGCGUAGGUGGGCAGGUAAGUCCGAGGUGAAAUCCUAUAGCUUAACUAUAGAACUGCCAUGGAUACUAUCUGUCUAGAAUGUCGUAGAGGUAAGCGGAAUAUGCCGUGUAGCGGUGAAAUGCUUAGAUAUGACGUAGAACACCAGUUGCGAAGGCAGCUUACUAUGCGAUGAUUGACACUGAGGCACGAAAGCUUGGGUAGCAAACAGG